CCUACGGGAGGCUGCAGUGGGGAAUAUUGGACAAUGGGGGGAACCCUGAUCCAGCCAUGCCGCGUGUGUGAAGAAGGCCCUCGGGUUGUAAAGCACUUUCAGUGAGGAAGAACGCCUGGUGGUUAAUACCCAUCAGGAAAGACAUCACUCACAGAAGAAGCACCGGCUAACUCCGUGCCAGCAGCCGCGGUAAUACGGAGGGUGCGAGCGUUAAUCGGAAUUACUGGGCGUAAAGCGCGCGUAGGUGGCUUGAUAAGCCGGUUGUGAAAGCCCCGGGCUCAACCUGGGAACGGCAUCCGGAACUGUCAAGCUAGAGUGCAGGAGAGGAAGGUAGAAUCCCCGGUGUAGCGGUGAAAUGCGUAGAGAUCGGGAGGAAUACCAGUGGCGAAGGCGGCCUUCUGGACUGACACUGACACUGAGGUGCGAAAGCGUGGGUAGCAAACAGGAUUAGAUACCCUAGUAGUC
rnacentral:rRNA from 1 species